rnacentral:pre_miRNA from 1 species
GGCGCAAACUCGAAGUAGAGUAGUUUAGUAGAGUCAGAUGAUCCUUCUAAUCUACUCUACUUAAAAUUUGGGCUC